rnacentral:rRNA from 1 species
UUAAGCGACUAAGCGUACACGGUGGAUGCCCUGGCAGUCAGAGGCGAUGAAGGACGUGCUAAUCUGCGAAAAGCGUCGGUAAGGUGAUAUGAACCGUUACAGCCGGCGAUGUCCGAAUGGGGAAACCCAGUGCAAUUCGUUGCACUAUCGUUAACUGAAUACAUAGGUUAACGAGGCGAACCGGGGGAACUGAAACAUCUAAGUACCCCGAGGAAAAGAAAUCAACCGAGAUUCCCCCAGUAGCGGCGAGCGAACGGGGAGCAGCCCAGAGUCUGAAUCAGCUUGUGUGUUAGUGGAACGGUCUGGAAAGUCCGACGGUACAGGGUGAUAGUCCCGUACACCAAAAUGCACAGGCUGUGAACUCGAAGAGUAGGGCGGGACACGUGGUAUCCUGUC